GCAGUCGUGGCCGGGUGGUUCUGGCGAUGGACUAGAAAUCCAUUGGGGUCUCCCCGCACAGGUUCUAAUCCUGUCGACUGCG
rnacentral:tRNA from 1 species